AGUGAACGCUGGCGGUAGGCCUAACACAUGCAAGUCGAACGGCAGCACAGUAAGAGCUUGCUCUUACGGGUGGCGAGUGGCGGACGGGUGAGGAAUACAUCGGAAUCUACUUUUUCGUGGGGGAUAACGUAGGGACACUUACGCUAAUACCGCAUACGACCUACGGGUGAAAGCAGGGGAUCUUCGGACCUUGCGCGAUUGAAUGAGCCGAUGUCGGAUUAGCUAGUUGGCGGGGUAAAGGCCCACCAAGGCGACGAUCCGUAGCUGGUCUGAGAGGAUGAUCAGCCACACUGGAACUGAGACACGGUCCAGACUCCUACGGGAGGCAGCAGUGGGGAAUAUUGGACAAUGGGCGCAAGCCUGAUCCAGCCAUGCCGCGUGGGUGAAGAAGGCCUUCGGGUUGUAAAGCCCUUUUGUUGGGGAAGAAAAGCAGCAUGUUAAUACCCCGAUGUUCUGACGGUACCCAAAGAAUAAGCACCGGCUAACUUCGUG
rnacentral:rRNA from 1 species